GUUUGCCAAUAUUAUAUUGCGUCAAAGCCUCAUUCAAGGACACCAGGAUUGUGUUGUGUAGGUCAAUACCUUCGUUUACUCAUUCACCAGAACCAUUGCGCGCUUUACUUUUCAGCGACUUGACAGAAUCAAUAGGCCAACGAAUCUCACACAUUUCGUCUUGUUGUCGGCAGCGAAUGCAGAACAAAAAUUUCUUCAAAGGCGUUAUAUAGCCAUGUCUAAUUAAAAAAUCUAUAACCACUGGGCAACUGGUUGUCUUAAAAUCAGGCGUAAAUACACGUUCCAC